AUCGCUUCUCGGCCUUUUGGCUAAGAUCAAGUGUAAUAAUUGUUUAUUGACAGGAAUCUGAAUUCUUAUACUUCAGAGUUAAUGUCCAAAAACCAAGGACCUUACUUAAAGGAUCUUACAUAACAAACCAGCCCAUUGUUGAAACUCAGACUCCUGCCAUGUCCCAAGGACUGCGGGAAAUACAAAAGAAAUCUAA